CUACGGGGUGCUCCAGUAAGGAAUAUUGGGCAAUGGACGCAAGUCUGACCCAGCCAUGCCGCGUGCAGGAUGACAGCCCUACGGGUUGUAAACUGCUUUUAUACGGGAAAAAUUCUUCCGACGUGUCGGAAGUUGAUGGUACUGUAUGAAUAAGCAUCGGCUAACUCCGGGCCAGCAGCCGCGGUAAUACGGAGGAUGCAAGCGUUAUCCGGAUUUAUUGGGUUUAAAGGGUGCGUAGGCGGAAUGAUAAGUCAGUGGUGAAAUCCUACGGCUCAACCGUAGAACUGCCAUUGAUACUGUCGUUCUUGAGUACAGUUGUAGUGGGCGGAAUAUGUCAUGUAGCGGUGAAAUGCAUAGAUAUGACAUAGAACACCGAUCGCGAAGGCAGCUCACUAAGCUGUAACUGACGCUGAGGCACGAAAGCGUGGGGAGCAAACAGGAUUAGAUACCCCGGUAGUC
rnacentral:rRNA from 1 species